CACACCGUUUCUUUUCGAGCAACUGGAAACAACAAACAUGAAGACAUUUAUCAUCUUUUUAAGCCUGUUGGUGAUUGCUGCUGCUCAGCGGCCCGAGACGCCGUGUUUAUAUGGGAAACCCGAGGGUUAUGGUCAGUGUCAUAUGUUCUUAUCAUGUGGUAAAAACGAAGAGUGCAUAGGAAACAUUUGCUGUAGAGUUAUUGGCAAACCUGUUGAAAAUGAAAGGCCAUAACAUCUGUUGCGAUAUGUCGUCUGUUAGAUACAGGUUUGAUGCAAAUGUCCAGAAAAAAGGAUGUUUUUAUUUGAGAAAAUAAAAAAGUUCUUC
rnacentral:misc_RNA from 1 species